UACGUAGGGAGCAAGCGUUGUCCGGAUUCACUGGGUGUAAAGGGUGCGUAGGCGGCGCGGUAAGUCGGGUGUGAAAUCUCGGAGCUUAACUCCGAAACUGCAUUCGAUACUGCCGUGCUUGAGGACUGGAGAGGAGACUGGAAUUUACGGUGUAGCGGUGAAAUGCGUAGAUAUCGUAAGGAAGACCAGUGGCGAAGGCGGGUCCCUGGACAGUUCCUGACGCUGAGGCACGAAGGUCAGGGGAGCAAACGGG
rnacentral:rRNA from 1 species